GGUCUCAUGGUGUAAUGGGUAGCACUCUGGACUUUGAAUCCAGCGAUCUGAGUUCAAAUCUCGGUGAGACCU
rnacentral:tRNA from 1 species